rnacentral:rRNA from 1 species
UACGAAGGGGGCGAGCGUUGUUCGGAAUUACUGGGCGUAAAGGGCUCGUAGGUGGCCAACUAAGUCAGACGUGAAAUCCCUCGGCUUAACCGGGGAACUGCGUCUGAUACUGGAUGGCUUGAGUUUGGGAGAGGGAUGCGGAAUUCCAGGUGUAGCGGUGAAAUGCGUAGAUAUCUGGAGGAACACCGGUGGCGAAGGCGGCAUCCUGGACCAAUACUGACACUGAGGAGCGAAAGCCAGGGGAGCAAACGGG